rnacentral:rRNA from 1 species
AGUGAACGCUGGCGGCAUGCUUUACACAUGCAAGUCGAACGGCAGCGCGGGCUUCGGCCUGGCGGCGAGUGGCGAACGGGUGAGUAAUACAUCGGAACGUGCCCAGUAGUGGGGGAUAGCUCGGCGAAAGCCGGAUUAAUACCGCAUACGACCUGAGGGUGAAAGCGGGGGAUCUUCGGACCUCGCGCUAUUGGAGCGGCCGAUGGCAGAUUAGCUAGUUGGUGGGGUAAAGGCCUACCAAGGCGACGAUCUGUAGCUGGUCUGAGAGGACGACCAGCCACACUGGGACUGAGACACGGCCCAGACUCCUACGGGAGGCAGCAGUGGGGAAUUUUGGACAAUGGGCGAAAGCCUGAUCCAGCAAUGCCGCGUGUGUGAUGAAGGCCUUCGGGUUGUAAAGCACUUUUGGCGGGAAAGAAAAGGACUGUGCCAAUACCACGGUUCGAUGACGGUACCCGCAGAAUAAGCACCGGCUAACUACGUG